CGUAGGAUCCAAGCGUUAUCCGGAAUUACUGGGCGUAAAGAGUUGCGUAGGUGGCAGAGUAAGCAGGGUAUGAAAGCGUGUGGCUCAACCAUACAGCUAUAUCCUGAACUGCUCAGCUAGAGGACAAGAGAGGUAGUUGGAAUUCCCAGUGUAGGAGUGAAAUCCGUAGAUAUUGGGAGGAACACCGAUGGCGUAGGCAGACUACUGGCUUGUUCCUGACACUAAGGCACGAAAGCGUGGGGAGCGACCGGGAUUAGAUACCCCGUUAGUCCACGCUGUAAACGAUGGAUGCUAGCUGUUACGAGUAUCGACCCUUGUAGUAGCGAAGCUAACGCGUUAAGCACUCCCGCCUGUGGAGUACGGUCGCAAGAACU
rnacentral:rRNA from 1 species